GAUUACAACUCUUAUCUGAUUAAUCUUUUUUCCCCAAACACCUUACCUACCCUUCUCCUUACAGAAAGGUCAGCUUGAGAGGAGAUAUUCAGACAGCUUUGAG